UACGUAGGCAGCGAGCGUUGUUCGGAAUUACUGGGCGUAAAGAGUGUGUAGGCGGUGCUCUAAGUUCGGUGUGAAAUCUCCUGGCUUAACUGGGAGGGUGCGCCGGAAACUGGAGUGCUCGAGCGUGGGAGAGGAAAGCGGAAUUCCUGGUGUAGCGGUGAAAUGCGUAGAUAUCAGGAGGAACACCUGUGGUGUAGACGGCUUUCUGGACCAUUGCUGACGCUGAGACACGAAAGCGUGGGGAGCAAACAGG
rnacentral:rRNA from 1 species